ensembl:lncRNA A-kinase anchor inhibitor 1
UGCAGGUAUUUAUGGUCACCUGACAAAAGGGUGAUAUCAAACGACAGAGUCCAGUGAGAGAAAUGUGAAGUGUGGACAAUAUUAUAUCACAAAAAUGGCAUCAUUUCUGCAUCAAGGUGAAGAACAAAGUUGACUGGAAAUGUUUUUACCAGCAUCCUCAUUGAGGCAGCCUGGAAAUAGACUUCCAAUCUAUUCAGGGAUUUGAGCAGUAGGAGGUGACUGAAGGCUAUCUCAUGAUGAAGAAUGGCUGAAGAACUGUAUCGAGGAUUACAAACUAAGAAUUGAAAUGGAAGGCCCACACAGAAGAGAGAUCCAAUCUGACAGAGGAGGAAAUUCAGGUCUGGAAGGCCCCAGUGGACAGUUGGCCUUGCAGGUGAACCUGAUAAAGGACCAGCUGAGGAACCAUUCCCCAGAGACCAUUAAGCAGGGGCCUAAAGAAAACAAUGAGCUAAUCAUUCUGAUAUGACCUUAUUUUAGAGUGUGAUAAGCUUGCUAAAGAAGACUUCAACCUUUGUGCGUGUGUGACUGCAACUAUCGAUUUAAGUGAUCACCAGCUGCUUGUUGCCCUCCUGAGUGGACAAAGUCUACCUACAGAACCACUUGCAAGCCCUGGGAUUCAGCUUUGUCCCGCUGUUUCCAAAUUUGAGGUGCUCAAAUAUUGACUCCGAGGACCUUCCAUGCCAGAACCACCCAAGAUACCCUUAAGAGACAGCUCUCCUACCUCCUGGAAUGAGUGGGCUUUAUUUCGACUGGGGCCCCAUCCUAAGGUGAGAAACCUGGAAGUGAACCUGAAGAGGCGAAGCUGCAGAACGCCAGCAAACAGAUCGUGCAGAAUGCCAUCCUGCGCGCUGUGCAGCAGGUCUCCCAGGAGAGUCGGCGGAGGGAAGCCAGAGCCAGCGGCACCCAGGGCAGCCCCCAGCGGGGCGUGGGGGAGUUAACCAAGAAGCAUGAGAAGAAGUAACACCGUGGAUUCGGCCCUUGUCACACUGCUUGGUCUUCAGCCUUCCUCUUAGUAUAGGAUGUGUCGCCAAAAUGUUGCCAGUAAAGCAAACCAAAGUGUCAUAGGCACCUAGCAGUAGGAUGAACUUGCACGAGCCCCUCGUUGGGAUGCACUGUUCUGACAAAAGUGCAUUAGACGAUUCUGUUUAAACACAGUGCCUCGGAAACAUAGUCGGGCCAAACACGACACUGUAAUUGCAAAAGUAGUUUUGCAGCACAAUUCCUUUUUAAAAUCUUUUUUUUUUUAAAUGAUUCUGUCUUGUUUAUUUAAUUUUGCCUUUUGUGCAUUUUUUCUGUGAAUUUAACCAGCAGUCCUUUUUUGCUGAAACAUUGAGUGCAGUACUGAGAUCUGUAUAAUAUUUUAUAAAGACAUGCUGGAAGGGUGAAGGAAUAUUGUUUGAGUGCCCCUCAAAUAUGGAAUUGAAGGUUUUAAUAAAGUGGGUUCAGGUCCAAGAUCAAAUUAAGCAAAAAGCAAAUCCUAAGACCAAGUCCCUCAGGAUCUUAACAAGGUGUGUAUUUAUAUUACUUUUUUAAAAAGGAGGAAUUUCGCUUUUCCUGUAUUCAGUCUGAAAUCUCUCAGUUGUUUGAUACUCGGUAUUUACUCUCUGUGCAGAAAUCCUUUGGAAAUAUUACGGAUUACUUUUUCCAUCUCAAGAUGAAAAUAAGACAGGUACAUCUAUAUGCAUGAGUUGUCAAUGUUAGCAACCCCUUGAAGAGCAGCAAGAAUUGUAGGUUGCAUCCUGGAGAUACAGUAGUGCCUGAUGAUGGUAUAUGGUGCCUUUGGGAGGAGCUCUUGGAUCUUAUAAAUGCUGUGGGGCCUUCAGGCUAUGCAUCUGCACUAGUACCUUGCUAAUAGGAAAUUUCCUUGUCCCACCCACGAAUUACAUUUUUCUUGAGAUUAUGAAAAUCAUAUGUAUUGGGAAUGAAUGUUGCUUCAAAUGGGAAAAUCAUUCUCUCAACUUUCUGGAACAGCAAAAGACAGUGGGAACAGUCGAGCAACCGUGUUGUGAAUGCAGUUAUGGAAGCGUGUGUGUGAGUGAAUAAAGCCAUCUCCGCAGCAGAAUGACUUCUGCUUCACCCCCAUGGGGGUAACACAUAGUUUUCUAUGUCCUUAGCAUCCCAUUUCCUGGGCUUUGCAGCAGUUAUUGAGUUGGAGCUAUUGGGAACAGAGGGAGAAUUUGGCCUUUGUUAGAGAUCUUUUGGCUUUGGGGUGUCAGUGUCUACAUUUGAUAGUUUUUUUUAAAAAGCAAAGUAUCAGCAUCUAAAGGGUGACAGAUAUGAAGAUCUGCUUCUAAAAUUCCAACAUGUUACACUUUCCAGAAGGGAUAUUAUUGAGAAAUGGAUGAACACAGUCUCUUAUUAGUUCUCUUAGACCAUCUCACACCAUGCACAGAUGGAAUAAGUUCACAGGGAGGAUGUCUGUGGGAGGGAGCAGAGGGGUAAACAUUUAAAUGUGGUUUAUUCAUAAUUUUCUCUGAAUAGUUCUCAUGACAAUUGAAGAAUGAGUUCAAGGUGACCUGAAGUCAUAUAACUGAGUAGAACUAUACCGCAUAGUUAAUAGGAAUAAAAUAUUAGGGGAAAUUAUUCAAGAGUAUACGCACACAGACACACACACACACACACACACACACACACACACAAAUAAACCCACUGCUUGUAGUUUGCAAAUGAUCUGACACUCUGUCUGCUAGGAUAUCUGAGUAGAAUCAGCCUUGGACUUGGUUGUCAUAUGGCAGAAACACAUAAACACACUCUCUUUCCUCUCUGGUGUGUCUGUGUUAAUACCUUGGGGAUCUUUGAGAAUAUCUGAUUAACCUCUGUAUCUAAAUGUUGUUUAUAAAUAAAACAUAUCCAGCU